GUGCUUACUUCCUUAUCACACAUACUAAAACUGUACCAAUACAGAGAUUAGCAUGGCUCUGCACAAGAAUGAUAUGCAAAUUUUGAAGUAUUCCCUAUAUUA